CAGUCAAGUGUCAUCCUGAAUCCAGAGAUACGAACACUCUGGCACCAUGUAUGUCAAUUCUGGAGCAGAAAAUGUGUCCAUGUCUUUGAACUUUAUGGGCAGGAAGUUACGUAACCAUACUGUUGCCCCAGCAGCAAAACAAUGUGCCUGGGAGACCACUGACCUUUCUCGAUAUCAGGAUGAUCCAGUGGUCUCCACACGAGCGGUACUUUCUCAUCCCACUGGGUCAUCAGAGGAACUGCCAGGCAGUGUUCCUGAUCUGAGAGAAGAUGUCCAGUGGCGUAGACCAUAUAACAUCCAUAAUACACUCCUAGACCAGGAUAAAGAUAGAGCGAGCACAUCUGGAACAAGCGUUUCAACAUGAUGUUUAUGCCACUGAAAAUGUUACAAGAAGAAACUGCAUAAAAAAGAAGUGAAAAUAAUCUCUGUAUUUGAGUACUUAAAGGGAAGGUCAACCGAAAAAUCAAAUGUCUGUCAUCAUUUACUCCAAGCCUUCUUUUUUUGUGUGUGUAACACAAAAGGAGAUAUUUUGAAUAAUGUUGGCAACCAAACAGUUUUAAGUCCUGCUGACUUCAAUAGUGGACAAAAAACUGCUUGGUUGCCAACAUUCUUCAAAAUAUUUUCCUUUGUGUUCCACAGACAAAAGAAAAAUUUAUACAGGUUUGGAAUGACAGAAGGGUGAGUAGUUGAUGACAGAAUUUUUGGGUUUUUCCAUUUUUGGGUGGACAAACCCAAGGUACAAAUAUGAAUGUGUUUUGUCAUGUACAGACAUGUUUAGGUAAUUUAAAACGUUUAUUCAUUGGUAUUGUGGAAAUAUUACGAUAGUUAUGUAAU
ensembl:lncRNA